AGGUUAAGAUAAUAAGAGCGCAGGGUGGAUGCCUUGGCACUAAGAGCCGAUGAAAGACGUGAUAAGCUGCGAAAAGCUGCGGGGAGGAGCAAAUAUCCCAUGAUCCGCAGAUAUCUGAAUGGGGAGACCCGGCCAGGAAGACCCUGGUCACUGCAUGGUGAAUCCAUAGCCAUGCAGGGGGAACCCGGUGAACUGAAACAUCUAAGUAGCCGGAGGAAGAGAAAGAAACAUCGAUUUCGUAAGUAGCGGCGAGCGAACGCGAAAGAGCCCAAACCGGAAUGCGUGCAUUCCGGGGUUCGGACUGCAUACGGUAUUGGCAGAAGAUAGGAGAAAGGUUUUGGAAAAGCCUGCCGGAGAGGGUGAGAGCCCCGUAUCCGAAAUCAGGAGCCAGCCAGCAGGAUCCAGAGUACCACGAGACACGUGAAACCUUGUGGGAAUGAGCGGGGACCACCCCGUAAGGCUAAAUACUACUUAGUGACCGAUAGCGCAUAGUACUGUGAAGGAAAGGUGAAAAGGACCCCGGGAGGGGAGUGAAAGAGAACCUGAAACCCUGUGUUUACAAGCUGUGGAACUAUUUUAAAGUAGGACCGCGUACUUUUUGUAGAACGGUCCGGCGAGUUGCCACUGCUGGCAAGGUUAAGUGCCAGAGGCACGGAGCCGAAGGGAAACCAAGUCUUAAUAGGGCGAAAGUCAGCAGGGGCAGACCCGAAACCGGGUGACCUAUCCAUGUCCAGGUUGAAGCUGCCGUAAGAGGCAGUGGAGGACCGAACCCACAUCCGUUGAAAAGGGUGGGGAUGAGGUGUGGAUAGCGGAGAAAUUCCAAUCGAACCCGGAGAUAGCUGGUUCUCCUCGAAAUAGCUUUAGGGCUAGCCUCAUGAUAGUCUGCUGGAGGUAGAGCACUGAAUUGCCUAGGGGGCGUCAAAGCUUACCAAAGCAUAUCAAACUCCGAAUGCCAGACAGAUGUUUCAUGGGAGUCAGACCAUACGAGAUAAGUUGGAUGGUCAAAAGGGAAAGAGCCCAGACCACCGGCUAAGGUCCCAAAGUGCGUGUUAAGUGGAAAAGGAUGUGGGAUUUCGAAGACAACUAGGAUGUUGGCUCAGAAGCAGCCAUUCAUUCAAAGAGUGCGUAAUAGCUCACUAGUCGAGAGGUCCUGCGCCGAAAAUGUCCGGGGCUGAAACACGACACCGAAGCCGUGGAAUCACGUAGUGAUUGGUAGAGGAGCAUUCUUAAACGGUGGAAGCUGUACCGGAAGGAGCAGUGGACGGUUAAGAAGAGAGAAUGCCGGAAUGAGUAGCGAGAAAGAAGUGAGAAUCUUCUUGGCCGAAUAUCUAAGGUUUCCAGAGUAAAGCUGAUCUGCUCUGGGUAAGUCGGGGCCUAAGGCGAGGUCGAAAGACGUAGUCGAUGGAUAACAGGUUGAGAUUCCUGUACCGCAUGAAAUCAGAACUGUGGGGACACAGACAGGAAGAGGGAGCCGGGAAUGGAAAGUCCGGUCCAAGCGAGGUAGGAGUACCGAUGGCAAAUCCGCGGUGCGAUCCGAAGACGUGACGGGGAGCGAACAUAAGUAGCGAAGCCCUUGCCCCUGGCUGUCAAGAAAAGCCGCUAUCGUAUUUCAUGUGCCCGUACCGUAAACCGACACAGGUGGAUGAGGAGAGAAUCCUAAGGCCGACGGGAGAAGUGUUGUUAAGGAACUCGGCAAAAUGGCCCCGUAACUUCGGGAGAAGGGGUGCCUGCGAGAGCAGGCCGCAGAGAAUUGGCCCAAGCAACUGUUUAGCAAAAACACAGGUCUAUGCAAAACCGCAAGGUGAAGUAUAUGGGCUGACGCCUGCCCGGUGCUGGAAGGUUAAGGGGAGGGCUUAGAGCAAUCGAAGGUCUGAACUUAAGCCCCAGUAAACGGCGGCCGUAACUAUAACGGUCCUAAGGUAGCGAAAUUCCUUGUCGGGUAAGUUCCGACCCGCACGAAAGGCGUAAUGAUUUGGGCACUGUCUCAACAACACACCCGGUGAAAUUGAAAUACCAGUGAAGAUGCUGGUUACCCGCGCCAGGACGGAAAGACCCCAUGGAGCUUUACUCUAGCUUGAUACUGGGAUUCGGUACUGCAUGUACAGGAUAGGUGGGAGACGUGGAAUCAUGGACGCCAGUCCAUGAGGAGUCGCUGUUGGGAUACCACCCUUGCAGUAUUGGAUUUCUAACCAGCAGCCGUGAUCCGGCUGGGGGACAAUGUCAGGUGGGGAGUUUGACUGGGGCGGUCGCCUCCGAAAGGGUAUCGG
rnacentral:rRNA from 1 species